rnacentral:rRNA from 1 species
GACGAACGCUGGCGGCGUGCUUAACACAUGCAAGUCGAACGAUGAACCCGGAGCUUGCUCUGGGGGAUUAGUGGCGAACGGGUGAGUAACACGUGAGUGACCUGCCCUGGACUCUGGGAUAAGCGUUGGAAACGACGUCUAAUACCGGAUAGGACCUUGGAUCGCAUGAUCUGGGGUGGAAAGUUUUUUCGGUCUGGGAUGGACUCGCGGCCUAUCAGCUUGUUGGCGAGGUAAUGGCUCACCAAGGCGUCGACGGGUAGCCGGCCUGAGAGGGUGACCGGCCACACUGGGGCUGAGACACGGCCCAGACUCCUACCGGAGGCAGCAGUGGGGAAUAUUGCACAAUGGGCGAAAGCCUGAUGCAGCAACGCCGCGUGCGGGAUGACGGCCUUCGGGUUGUAAACCGCUUUUAGUAGGGAAGAAGGGCUUCGGCUUGACGGUACCUGCAGAAAAAGGACCGGCUAACUACGUG